rnacentral:rRNA from 1 species
UACGGGGGGCAAGCGUUGUUCGGAAUUACUGGGCGUAAAGGGCGCGUAGGCGGCCUGCUAAGUCGGAUGUGAAAUCCCUCGGCUUAACCGAGGAACUGCAUCCGAUACUGGCGGGCUUGAAUCCGGGAGAGGGAUGUGGAAUUCCAGGUGUAGCGGUGAAAUGCGUAGAUAUCUGGAGGAAGACCGGUGGCGAAGGCGGCAUCCUGGACCGGUAGUUGACGCUGAGGCGCGAAAGCUAGGGAGC